GACAGAGGCCUCAAGCGUUAGGCGGAAUCACUGGGCUUAAAGCGUGUGUAGGCGGAUCGUUAAGUGUCUUGUGAAAUCCCACGGCUCACCCGUGGAACUGCUGGGCAUACUGGCGAUCUUGGGCCAACUAGGGGCAACUGGAACAAGCGGUGGAGCGGUGAAAUGCGUAGAUAUCGCUUGGAACGCCAAGGGUGAAAACAGGUUGCUGGGGUUGUGCCGAC
rnacentral:rRNA from 1 species